rnacentral:rRNA from 1 species
AUUGAACGCUGGCGGAAUGCUUUACACAUGCAAGUCGAACGGCAGCACGGACUUCGGUCUGGUGGCGAGUGGCGAACGGGUGAGUAAUGUAUCGGAACGUGCCCAGUCGUGGGGGAUAACGUAGUGAAAAUUACGCUAAUACCGCAUACGAUCUAUGGAUGAAAGCGGGGGAUCGCAAGACCUCGCGCGCUUGGAGCGGCCGAUAUCAGAUUAGGUAGUUGGUGGGGUAAAGGCCCACCAAGCCAACGAUCUGUAGCUGGUCUGAGAAGACGACCAGCCACACUGGAACUGAGACACGGUCCAGACUCCUACGGGAGGCAGCAGUGGGGAAUUUUGGACAAUGGGCGAAAGCCUGAUCCAGCCAUUCCGCGUGCAGGAUGAAGGCCCUUGGGUUGUAAACUGCUUUUGUACAGAACGAAAAGGUUUCUACUAAUACUAGGAGCUCAUGACGGUACUGUAAGAAUAAGCACCGGCUAACUACGUGCCAGCCGCCGCGGUAA